AGUGAACGCUGGCGGUAGGCCUAACACAUGCAAGUCGAACGGCAGCACAGUAAGAGCUUGCUCUUACGGGUGGCGAGUGGCGGACGGGUGAAGAAUACAUCGGAAUCUACUUUUUCGUGGGGGAUAACGUAGGGAAACUUACGCUAAUACCGCAUACGACCUACGGGUGAAAGCAGGGGAUCUUCGGACCUUGCGCGAUUGAAUGAGCCGAUGUCGGGUUAGCUAGUUGGCGGGGUAAAGGCCCACCAAGGCGACGAUCCGUAGCUGGUCUGAGAGGAUGAUCAGCCACACUGGAACUGAGACACGGUCCAGACUCCUACGGGAGGCAGCAGUGGGGAAUAUUGGACAAUGGGCGCAAGCCUGAUCCAGCCAUACCGCGUGGGUGAAGAAGGCCUUCGGGUUGUAAAGCCCUUUUGUUGGGAAAGAAAAGCAGCAGGUUAAGACCCCGCUGUUCUGACGGUACCCAAAGAAUAAGCACCGGCUAACUUCGU
rnacentral:rRNA from 1 species